rnacentral:siRNA from 1 species
GGGGUUGCUCUAAUAGAUUGUGAU